rnacentral:rRNA from 2 species
GUGUCGAUGAAGAACGCAGCCAGGUGCGUGAAUUAAUGUGAAUUGCAGGACACAUUGAACAUCGAUAUCUUGAACGCACAUUGCGGCUCCGGGUCACUCCCGGAGCCACGCCUGUCUGAGGGUCGGC